UACGGGGGGGGCAAGCGUUGUUCGGAAUUACUGGGCGUAAAGGGCUCGUAGGUGGCCAACUAAGUCAGACGUGAAAUCCCUCGGCUUAACCGGGGAACUGCGUCUGAUACUGGAUGGCUUGAGUUCGGGAGAGGGAUGCGGAAUUCCAGGUGUAGCGGUGAAAUGCGCAGAUAUCAGGAGGAACACCGGUGGCGAAGGCGGGUCUCUGGGCAACAACUGACGCUGAGGAGCGAAAGCGUGGGGAGCAAACAGG
rnacentral:rRNA from 1 species